CCCUUAGAUGUCCUGGGCCGCACGCGCGUUACACUGAUGCAUUCAACGAGCUUAUAACCUUGGCCGAGAGGCCUGGGCAAUCUUGUUAACGUGCAUCGUGAUAGGGGUAGAUUAUUGAAAUUAUUAAUCUUGAACGAGGAAUUCCUAGUAAACGCAGAUCAUCAAUCUGCAUUGAUUACGGCCCUGCCCUUUGUACACACCGCCCGUCGCACCUACCGAUUGGAUGGUCCGGUGAAGCCUCGGGAUUGUGGUUCUUGCCGCUUUAUUGUAGCGUGACCGCGAGAACUUGUCUAAACCUUAUCAUCUAGAGGAAGGUGAAGUCGUAACA
rnacentral:rRNA from 1 species